rnacentral:rRNA from 1 species
GCGGCCACUGCUAUCAAGUUCCGACUAAGCCAUGCGAGUCAAGGUAUCGUAAGAUGCCGGCAAACUGCUCAGUAACACGUGGAUAAUCUAACCUUGAGUGAGGGAUAACUUCGGGAAACUGAAGGUAAUACCUUAUAAUUGCUUAAAACUGGAAUGUUUUUGCAAUAAAAGUUACGACGCUCAAGGAUGAGUCUGCGACCUAUCAGGUAGUAGGUGGUGUAAUGGACCACCUAGCCUCAGACGGGUACGGGCCCUGGGAGGGGUAGCCCGGAGAUGGACUCUGAGACAUAAGUCCAGGCCCUACGGGGCGCAGCAGGCGCGAACACUGUGCAAUGCGCGAAAGCGCGACACGGGGAGCUUGAGUGUCUUGGCAUAGCCAAGACUUUUCUCAUUCCUAAAAAGCAUGAGGAAUAAGUGCUGGGUAAGACGGGUGCCAGCCGCCGCGGUAACACCCGCAGCACGAGUAGUGGUCACUUUUAUUGAGCCUAAAGCGUUCGUAGCCGGUUUUGUAAAUCUUCAGAUAAAGCCUGAAGCUUAACUCCAGAAAGUCUGAAGAGACUGCAAGACUUGAGAUCGGGUGAGGUUAAACGUACUUUCAGGGUAGGGGUAAAAUCCUGUAAUCCCGGAAGGACGACCAGUGGCGAAAGCGUUUAACUAGAACGAAUCUGACGGUAAGGAACGAAGGCUAGGGUAGCAAACCGGAUUAGAUACCCGGGUAGUCCUAGCUGUAAACAUUGCCCAUUUGAUGUUGCUUUUCCGUUGAGGGAAGGCAGUGUCGGAGCGAAGGUGUUAAAUGGGCCGCUUGGGAAGUAUGGUCGCAAGACUGAAACUUAA